UGCCUGCCUCCCUGUGUCUCCUCCCCUGCGUGUGCUCUCCCUCUCUCUCUCCCUCUGCUCCUGAGCCCAGCCAACGACCCGCGCCUGCACCUCGUCAGCCACCUCCUCUGAAAGCAGUCAGCCUCACCUCUGAAAGUACUUCUACCCCGGUUCUCCAGUCAACCCCUGCUUGAUCGUUGUUGCUCCUUACACGGUUCACUCACCUCCGUCCUCCGUUCCAUCAGCUGGGCUAGCCACCCUGCCCUCUCCCCUUGGACCUCUUCCACGGCGUCCUCCCGGCUCCUCCCCGUGCCUCCUUACUUCCUCGGUCCCCAGUGCCCCCCCCCCUUGUCUCAGUCUCCUUGGUUCCCCGUGCCUGUGUUUCCCCGGCGUCCUCCACUCCCUCAACCCCUUUUCCCCUUCAAUAAAGCCUGUUCUUCCCGAG